rnacentral:piRNA from 1 species
AAGGAUGAAUAGAACAAUCAAGGAGACUU